AGAGUUUGAUCCUGGCUCAGGAUGAACGCUAGCGGCAGGCCUAACACAUGCAAGUCGAGGGGCAUCGGGAUUGAAGCUUGCUUCAAUUGCCGGCGACCGGCGCACGGGUGCGUAACGCGUAUGUAACCUACCUAUAACAGGGGCAUAACACUGAGAAAUUGGUACUAAUUCCCCAUAAUAUUCGGAGAGGCAUCUCUCCGGGUUGAAAACUCCGGUGGUUAUAGAUGGACAUGCGUUGUAUUAGCUAGUUGGUGAGGUAACGGCUCACCAAGGCAACGAUACAUAGGGGGACUGAGAGGUUAACCCCCCACAUUGGUACUGAGACACGGACCAAACUCCUACGGGAGGCAGCAGUGAGGAAUAUUGGUCAAUGGGCGUAAGCCUGAACCAGCCAAGUCGCGUGAGGGAUGAAGGUUCUAUGGAUCGUAAACCUCUUUUAUAAGGGAAUAAAGUGCGGGACGUGUCCCGUUUUGUAUGUACCUUAUGAAUAAGGAUCGGCUAACUCCGUGCCAGCAGCCGCGGUAAUACGGAGGAUCCGAGCGUUAUCCGGAUUUAUUGGGUUUAAAGGGAGCGUAGAUGGAUGUUUAAGUCAGUUGUGAAAGUUUGCGGCUCAACCGUAAAAUUGCAGUUGAUACUGGAUAUCUUGAGUGCAGUUGAGGCAGGCGGAAUUCGUGGUGUAGCGGUGAAAUGCUUAGAUAUCACGAAGAACUCCGAUUGCGAAGGCAGCCUGCUAAGCUGCAACUGACAUUGAGGCUCGAAAGUGUGGGUAUCAAACAGGAUUAGAUACCCUGGUAGUCCACACGGUAAACGAUGAAUACUCGCUGUUUGCGAUAUACAGCAAGCGGCCAAGCGAAAGCGUUAAGUAUUCCACCUGGGGAGUACGCCGGCAACGGUGAAACUCAAAGGAAUUGACGGGGGCCCGCACAAGCGGAGGAACAUGUGGUUUAAUUCGAUGAUACGCGAGGAACCUUA
rnacentral:rRNA from 1 species